UACGGGGGGGGCAAGCGUUGUUCGGAAUUACUGGGCGUAAAGGGCUCGUAGGUGGCCAACUAAGUCAGACGUGAAAUCCCUCGGCUUAACCGGGGAACUGCGUCUGAUACUGGAUGGCUGGAGUGUGGGAGAGGGAUGCGGAAUUCCAGGUGUAGCGGUGAAAUGCGUAGAUAUCUGGAGGAACACCGGUGGCGAAGGCGGCAUCCUGGACCAUUACUGACGCUGAAAAGCGAAAGCCAGGGGAGCAAACGGG
rnacentral:rRNA from 1 species